CAGUGGCGGACGGGUGAGUAACACGUAGGAACCUGCCCAGAAGUGGGGGAUAACUCCUCGAAAGAGGAGCUAAUACCGCAUAUGGUCCACGGACCAAAGCAGCAAUGCGCUUCUGGAGGGGCCUGCGGCGGAUUAGCUAGUUGGUGGGGUAACGGCCUACCAAGGCAACGAUCCGUAACUGGUCUGAGAGGACGGCCAGUCACACUGGGACUGAGACACGGCCCAGACUCC
rnacentral:rRNA from 1 species